rnacentral:tRNA from 1 species
GAGGGUAUAGCUCUGUGGUAGAGCACAUGUCUAGCAUGCAUGAGGUCUUAGGUUCAGUCCCUAGUACCUCCC